GCGCCAGCUUUCAACUGCUUCUGUUUGUUCAAGAGAACAAUGCAAAAAUAAGCCAAAUAAGGAGUCAAAUUACUAACUACAGCAAUGCAAGAAUUUAAAGGACGAUAUUUUUUAGCUUACUGCAAAAUGAUAAAGAUGGGUAAUCAAAGAUUUUACUAGAAAUGCAAAAGACAGCCCAAGUGCAUGGACAGUAUACAGGAGGAACUCCUAAUUAGAAAUAGGAAAAGAGA